CCUACGGGGAGCAGCAGUGAGGAAUAUUGGUCAAUGGGCGCGAGCCUGAACCAGCCAAGUAGCGUGAAGGAUGACUGCCCUACGGGUUGUAAACUUCUUUUAUAAAGGAAUAAAGUGAGGCACGUGUGCCUUUUUGUAUGUACUUUAUGAAUAAGGAUCGGCUACCUCCGUGCCAGCAGCCGCGGUAAUACGGAGGAUCCGAGCGUUAUCCGGAUUUCUUGGGUUUAAAGGGAGCGUAGAUGGGUUGUUAAGUCAGUUGUGAAAGUUUGCGGCUCAACCGUAAAAUUGCACUUGAUACUGGCAGCCUUGUGUACAGUUGCGGUAGGCGGCCUUCGUGGUGUAGCGGUUCACUGCUUCGCUAUCACG
rnacentral:rRNA from 1 species